rnacentral:rRNA from 1 species
UACAGAGGUCUCAAGCGUUGUUCGGAUUUACUGGGCGUAAAGGGUGCGUAGGUGGCGAUGUAAGUUGAGUGUGAAAUCCUAGGGCUUAACCUUAGAACUGCACUCAAUACUGCGUUGCUAGAGGAUUGUAGAGGAGAAUGGAAUUCACGGUGUAGCAGUGAAAUGCGUAGAUAUCGUGAGGAAGACCAGUGGCGAAGGCGAUUCUCUGGGCAAUUCCUGACACUGAGGCACGAAGGCCAGGGGAGCAAACGGG